CUGGAGUUGUUGUUAUGCGCUGUCUUUGCAUUUCCAAAAGCCUCAAGCACUGGUCCGGCUCCAAGAAUAAUCUGUUCGACUCCGCUAGCAAAUCCCUUCUGGCUGAGGGCAGUGAGGUGAUGAAUCAGAAAGUUUGUGCUCUGCGUCUUCCCCGAGCCGCUCUCUCCUGAGAUCACGAUGCACUGGUUCUUCCUGCGCUGCAGCAUGGCAUGGUAGGCCACGUCCGCCACAGCGUAAAUGUGGGGCUCCAGCUUGCCCAGCUGGUGGUU
rnacentral:lncRNA from 1 species